rnacentral:rRNA from 1 species
UACGGAGGGGGCUAGCGUUGUUCGGAAUUACUGGGCGUAAAGCGCACGUAGGCGGCUUUGCAAGUUAGAGGUGAAAGCCCGGGGCUCAACUCCGGAAUUGCCUUUAAAACUGCAUCGCUAGAAUUGUGGAGAGGUAAGUGGAAUUCCGAGUGUAGAGGUGAAAUUCGUAGAUAUUCGGAAGAACACCAGUGGCGAAGGCAGUUCUCUGGGCCGUAACUGACGCUGAGGAGCGAAAGCGUGGGGAGCGAACAGG